rnacentral:rRNA from 1 species
UACGAAGGGGGCUAGCGUUGUUCGGAAUUACUGGGCGUAAAGCGCGCGCAGGCGGUUUCUCAAGUCAGAGGUGAAAGCCCGGAGCUCAACUCCGGAACUGCCAUUGAAACUGUGAAACUUGAGGACGAGAGAGGUGAGUGGAAUUCCCAGUGUAGAGGUGAAAUUCGUAGAUAUUGGGAAGAACACCGGUGGCGAAGGCGGCUCACUGGCUCGUUUCUGACGCUCAGGCGCGACAGCGUGGGGAGCAAACAGG